rnacentral:tRNA from 1 species
GGGAUUGUGGCUCAGUGGUAGAGUGCUCACCUAGCAAGUGUGAGGCCCUGAGUUCAAUCUUUAGCACCA